CACAUUAGUAUAUAAUUUUUUUUUCUGUAGUUUAUAACAAAUAAAGUAGGCCUACGUGUAAGGAAAAAAAAUUGUAAGCCUUGUUUCCAUUUUGAAUUGACUGGUCGUUUACACCACUUCGUUACAGAUACAGCAUGAAUCUUGGAUUGUAUUUGUGUUAGUGUUGACAUUUCUUUUUCAAAAUUGUAGGCCAAUAUUAAAUUGUAGCUUGUGUAAUUUAUAUUAAUAUAAAUAACGUAAUAUAUAAAUAAUCUUUUCUACUUUGACAAC